rnacentral:rRNA from 1 species
ACGAACGCUGGCGGCAUGCCUAACACAUGCAAGUCGAACGAUUGCCUUCGGGUGAUAGUGGCGCACGGGUGCGUAACGCGUGGGAAUCUGCCCUUAGGUUCGGAAUAACAGCUGGAAACGGCUGCUAAUACCGGAUGAUAUCGCGAGAUCAAAGAUUUAUCGCCUGAGGAUGAGCCCGCGUUGGAUUAGGUAGUUGGUGGGGUAAAGGCCUACCAAGCCGACGAUCCAUAGCUGGUCUGAGAGGAUGAUCAGCCACACUGGGACUGAGACACGGCCCAGACUCCUACGGGAGGCAGCAGUGGGGAAUAUUGGACAAUGGGCGCAAGCCUGAUCCAGCAAUGCCGCGUGAGUGAUGAAGGCCCUAGGGUUGUAAAGCUCUUUUACCCGGGAAGAUAAUGACUGUACCGGGAGAAUAAGCCCCGGCUAACUCCG